AUUCUUAAUGGGGAGCCAGGUGCUCCUUUCUUUCACCGAUGUGGAUUGAGGCAGGGCGACCCUCUGUCACCUCUUCUCUUCCUGCUUGCCAUCGACCCACUUCAGAGAAUUUUGGAGAAGGCCACCGAGGAGCACAUUCUUAGUCCCAUCAGCCACCGAUCGGCCUCUGUGAGGAUCAACCUGUACGCAGAUGAUGCCGCACUCUUCUUAAACCCAAGCAAAACGGAGGUGGCUGCCCUCCAAGAAAUUUUGGCUGCUUUUGGCAAUGUUUCA
rnacentral:rRNA from 1 species